GGACUACAAGGGUUUCUAAUCCUGUUUGAUCCCCUUGCUUUCGCGCUUCAGCGUCAGGUUCAAGCUGGAGGACCGCCUUCGCCACCGGUGUUCUUCCACAUAUCUACGCAUUUCACCGCUACUUGUGGAAUUCCGUCCUCCCCGCCUGCCCUCUAGAUGUGCAGUUUCAAAUGCAGCUCCGGGGUUGAGCCCCGGAAUUUCACAUCUGACUUACACCUCCGCCUACGCGCCCUUUACGCCCAAUAAAUCCGAUUAAUGCUUGCACCCUCCGUAUUACCGCGGCUGCUGGCAC
rnacentral:rRNA from 1 species